UUUCUGUAAAUUUACAGGGAAAUUCAACAGCAAAAUGCUGUUUUCGUGUAAUAACAGUAAGUUGCUGUUUUUUACAGUGCAUUGUGGGUAGACUCGCUCACUUCAGGUCUGUUGUCGAGCAACAACAGAAUGUUACUGUUAUUUAACAGUAUUAUAGCAUAUUUUUCGUUGUGCACGCCAUUUUGGAUUGUCUGCAUGAGGUAGGUCUGCAGCUUUAUCGAUGCUUGUGCUAUUUUUAAAUUACAUAUUACUUUUAAAUAUUGCAUUUUAUCCAGUGAAGCUUUUCAAAAAUAAAUCAGAUUUAAUUUCCUAUUUUAAUCAGGCAAAGCGGGUAUUCUACCAUCACAUCAGUUACACUCACAUCCGAUCACAGGGUUAUUUUGGUGCUUUGGUGCUAUUUUUGUCCUUAUUCCCUUUUCGUGCAUUGUGUAGACAAACAAAUAUUACAGAUAUUAUUAAGAUGUGUGCCACUCCUGCUGACUUUAAGAAGACUAGUAACUCACCUGUGACACCUUGUUUGAUCCUGUUUGCAUCUUUGGCUAUAUUCUUGGCGAGAACCGGUUAAUGAUAACAUCUUCAACUUGCAAAAAGUGAGAGCAGCAUCCACACUGGAAGUCCUUUAAAGACGCUUCAUUAAAAUCAUACCGCGAACCAAGGCUGCAAAGGGAAAAGUGACCUCUAAAACAGGAAAACUGCAAAAGAAGACCAUCAACAGUCAGUCUCAAACUAUCAAAUCUUUUAAAAAGACUUAUGGACUUUGAGUGGUACUUGAUUUAAAAUGUAGCUGACACUUCCCAUACAGUUUUUUUUUAAAUAUGGUGGGCUGCAGUGAUGGCAGGUGACUUUUCUGAGGAGGCACGAAUGCAUAUCUAGCCAAAACAUUGUCAUGUGUGUGGCUCGUCAUUUCAAGAUGUGUGUUUGGCGCGUCAUGUGAACCUGUGCAUCGCGUGUCAUGUCAAAAUACGUGCCUGCUCCAGACACUUUGAAGGGGAUUAUGAUAAAAGAGAUGCUCACUUUUGCCAUACUAGCUUAAUCUCAUGUGUAAUCAGAGUUUAGUGUUAAAUGAGUGUCUUGCGAGUAUCAUGUAAAUGUCUUUUUUAUUCUUUAUCAUAUUCAAAGCGUUUGCGGCAGGCACGUAUUUUGACAUGAUGUGUGAUCCAUAUAGGUUUACAUUACACUCCAUUCCAGCCACCACUGGUGGGUGGUGUUUUUAAUACUGGUUUGUAUAUUAUAGACCAUGUUUUCGUAUUUAAAAUUGGGCUGGUGUCUGGUAAAGAAUUAGCAAAUUAAUGUUUUAUUGAAUUCUUUUAAAAAUGUGGUGUUUUUACAGUUGUAAAACUUUUGUGCUUUUUUGAAAUCAAAAUUUUAAACUACAUUUGUAUUUUAUGUAAAGAUAAGGCAUCUCAAUAUUGUUCUUUGUUUGUUUGAUUUUUUGUGUCAUUUUUGUAUUAUAUGUUAUUGGUGCCUUUUAAUUGCACCACAGUUUAUGCACUGAAUAUUAAAAUAUAUCUGCUUGUAUUUCUGCCUGUUUUAUGGCAUAACAAACAUAGCAUAACAGUCAAUCUGGUGUUGAAUAAAGAAUAAAAAAAUUAAUAACCUGGCCUUUUUUGUUUUAUGUUAUCCACUUUGACAAAUAUAAAAUGCAGGGUAUAAUAGCAUUUAAAUUUUAAAAUAAUGGAGGUGUGACUAAUAUGUACUGUAAAUUAACAGGUAUAUGAUGCUAAAUAACAGUUUUAUGCUGUAGAUAACAAAAACAGUAUCAUGCUAUUAAAUAACAGCUGUAUUCUGUAGAUAACAAAAACAGUACCAUGCUGUUAAAAUAACAGUUGACUGCUGUAGGUAACAAAACAGUAUCAUGCUGUUUUUUCUAAUAACAGUAUCCCGCUGUAAAUUAACAGUGCAAUGCUGGCAACCACAGCUUCCAGCAUAAUACCGUUUUUUUACAGGGAAAUUUUUUACAG